rnacentral:rRNA from 1 species
CGUAUGGCGAUGCGGGAUGACCGAACGCGAUGUUAAAGCGCCAGACUGCCCGCUCAUGAGAACCCAUAAAAGGUGUUGGUUCAUUUAGACAGCAGGACGGUGGCCAUGGAAGUCGGAAACCGCUAAGGAGUGUGUAACAACUCACCUGCCGAAUGAAUUAGCCCUGAAAAUGGAUGGCGCUGAAGCGGGCGGCUUAUACAUCGCCAUCAAGGCAGGGAUGUAGGCCUUGAUGAGUAGGAGGGCGUGGGGCUCGUGGCGAAGGCCCAGGGCGUGAGCCCGGCUGGAACGUGCCCUAGUGCAGAUCUUGGUGAUAGUAGCAAAUAUUCAAAUGAGAACUUUGAAGACUGAAGUGGAGAAAGGUUUUGACGUGAACAGCAUUUGGACGUCAGUGAGCCGCUCCUAAGAGAUAGGGAAACUCCGUUCGGAAGCGCGGCAGUUCGGCGUCCCCGCAAGGGGCGCACCCCGGACCUUGCCCCGACUAUCGAAAGGGAACACGGUUAAUAUUCCGUGGCCGGGAAGUGGAUG